rnacentral:lncRNA from 1 species
ACUUCUUGAAUCAAUUAAGGAGCAAGGUUUCCAACUAGAAGAGGAGAGCUAUGAAUUUGAUACAAGUUAAGAGAAUCGAGCAGCUAAGAGGAAGAGAUAGAGCAGUAAGCAGUAACAGAAAAGCUAAGCUGGCAGCUGAUGUGGCAAAAGUUAGUUAAGACAGUUACAGUUAGGUAGAAUUAGUUAGAGUUAGUUACAAGUUGUUAAUCAAGCAUAUAUAGUAGAAUCACUUGUAAUUGAGGAUCACUUUUGAAGAUAAUACAAUUCUACUCUUUCUAAAUUCUUCUUCCUUGAGCUAUUUUCUCGCAUCUGCCUGUCAUAGCCAUCACCUUCUUCGAGCUUUAAGCUCCUAGAUUGACUAUUUCCCUCUGAAUUCUGUUACAUUGUAUCAUUUGGUAUCAGAGCUAAAGGUCCUUGGCAUAUUCAAUCAUGACUCGCAACAAAAAUUCAGAGAAAUCUGUUGGAGAAUUGGAGGACAAACUGACAGCUAUUCACGAUCAACUGCAAAAGUUGAUGGAUGGAAUGAUGAUUAUAAAUGAGCAUAAUGUACAAACUGACAAGGAAUCAAUAGAAUUGAAAGAAAUCAUGGGAGCGAUGAAUCAAAAAAGAGAAGGAAAAAAAACAAUUAGGGCAGAAUCUGCUACUGGUCGUGCUGGUUCAAUGGAGAUUCAGCAAGGAGGAAGAAACAGAUAAGUUCAUCAAGGUGCAACUUCUAAUGGUAAUUUUUUACUCGAUACUCUAAGCUAGAAUUUUCUCGAUUUUCUGGUCACGAUUUGAGACUUGGUUGUACAAAGUCGGCCAAUUCUUUUCUAUGGAUGAAGUAGCUUUUGAUUAGAGGGUUAAAGUGGUUUCUAUUCAUUUUGAUGGAAAAGUUAUUGUUUGGCAUAGGUCAUAUAUGAAAUCUAGGGAUUCAGUGCUAGAACCUACCUGGACUGAAUAUGUUCUAGCCUUAAAUGAAAAGUUUGGGGAAGGGUUUGAAGAUCAUAUGGAGGCCUUAAAGAAUUUGCAGCAGACUGGCAGUGUUAAGUACUACCAAGCAGAAUUUGAUAGAUUGUUGAUUGGGGUUAAUUUAUCUAAUGAAAAUGCAAUUAGUUGCUUCAUAGGUGGCCUUAAGCCGGAUUGAACAAAGCUGUGAGAAUUCAGUCACCUAAAACACUGCUACAAGCCUAUAGAAUUGCAAGAUUGCAGGAGGAAGUGUUCGAGGCUCAAGCCCAAUCCUGGGGUCUCAAGCCUAAUAUGAGAACCAACACUGGCCUACUACCUACCCCUAAUCAUAGUAAACUCCAGUAUAACCAAAGAACCCAUUACCAACCUUUAUUAACAAGAAGCCAUUUGAACCUACUCUUAAUAAGAACACUAGGAUACCUGGUAGGAGGUUGAGUGCAGCUGAAAUGGAUGAGAAGAGAUCGAAAGGAUUAUGUUUUUUUGUGAUGAUAAGUAUGUACCAGGCCAUAAUUGCAGGGGUAACCAACAAUUGUACUUAGUAGAGGUGGCAGAAGAUGAAAGGGUGGAAGUAGAGGAAUAGGAAGAUCUGACACAAGAAUUAUUGGCAGAUUCAAAUGAGUUCAUGGCCAUAUCAGUACAAGCAUUUACAGGUGUAGAAUGUUAUUAGACUAUUAGAGUUACAGGAUACCAUAAAAAGAGGCUAUUGCAAGUGUUGAUAGAUACUGGAGUACUCACAAUUUUAUUACUGAGGAAGUAGUUGCAAGGCUAGGCUGCAGAGCUUGUUCUAUUCAAAAACAAUCUGUCAGCGUAGCUGAUGGCAGAAGAGUACAAACUACUUCGGUUUGUAAGGACUUGCAGUGGUUAUUACAAGGUACAACAUUUUCAUCUGACUUCUUACACUUACCAUUGGAAAAUAUAGAUAUUGUGCUAGGUGUGAAAUGGUUGAAUACCUUGGGGAGGAUAUUAUUUGAUUUCAAAAAGAAAACUAUUGGAUUUAUGUAUCAAGGAAAGAAGCAUGUACUCGGGGGUGCAAAUGAUCAACUCAAGUCUGCUAAAGCUAAGAUUUUGAUAAAAAAAAAGGGAGCAGUUGACCAAUUCUUUAUGAUGUCUUUAAUAGCUAAUGAGGAUGAAAACAUUUACUGUCACAGUAUACAAGCUAUACCAAGUGCUGACCCUUUGCCAGAAUUAGCAGCACUUAUAAAGCAGUAUGUGUCACACCUCCUUUUCUACACCUUUUCUACCCUCCGGAAGGGGUAUAAGAGAGUUUUUCCAAUUUAAGUGACAAUCGAAACGAGAUUAUUUUUAUUUAGAAAUUCAGAGUUGCCACUUGGGAUAAUUUAUGGUGUUCCAAACACCGGUUUAAAAUCCCGAAUUGAGGAAAGUUGACUCUUAUUUAUGGUUUGCGAACACAGAAAUCUGGGUAAGAAAUUCUAUUAACCCGGGAGAAGGUGUUAGGCAUUUCUGGGUUCCAUGGUUCUAGCACGGUCACUCAACUAUUAACAUUGGCCUAAUUAUUUGACUAAUUACACAUUUUAAACUUACGUGCAUUUUUUACUUUCUAACCGCUUUUAAUGUUUAUAGAAUUAUUUUCUAGAACAAGUCACGAUUGUCGUACAUAUCGCGAACCGCGUCACAUGAAAUGCACCCGCAAUUUAUAACAUGUUUAUUUUAUUAUUAUUCAAAAUUAUGAUCGGGUCACAUGAAAUGCAUACCCGAAUUGAGAUUUACGUAUCACGGAAACUGUACCCAUGGCCACGAUAAUUAUUCAUAUUGCGAAUCAUGCCACGUGAAACGUACCCGCGAUUUACUAACAUGUUUAUCAUUAAUACUUGUAAGACUUUUCCAAACACUCCUUAAAUCGACUUAUUUAGAAAAGGUCGAUUCUGGUGCUACUGUAUGACCUUUCUAUGUAAUAAGUAUAAUUUUAGCACAUUAAUGAGUAUACAAAGCAGAUAGCAUAAGGCUGAAGUAAAAUACUAACAAUAAAGCAUUUCAUUUCUCAAAAACAAAAUUUUUUGCACCAUGGAUAACUAGAAGAACACCAGUAACAAGGUAAUACCUGGAUUUUAAGCGCAAAUGGACCUUGAUUUACCAAAUGAAAUACACAACUAUAUAUGAAAAUCUCUCUAACACAAAGGCGGAAGUUCGGCAAGAACUCAUCGGGAAACAAAGGACUCGUCGGCAACUACACAAACUCGACUAAAGAACAACAAACGAGUAAUCGACGGGACCAACGAAGGGACCUCAAACUACCCGGAAGGCUUCGAACCUCAAGCGACUCGAACACUGACUUCAAACGAGGAACUCGAGGUCACCAGUGACAUCUGUUUUGAGGCUGAAAGAUGAGAAGAUGGGUCGUUGGACGUUGGUGGUUCUCUAGAAUGGAUGAUUUCUGGCUACCUUUUCCUUAGAUAUCUUAUGGACGCUGUUGUGUGUAGAAGACGAAGGACAACGGCUGGGAUCUAUGGCUGAAGUUUAAAGAUGAAGAGUCUUCAGCAUGUAAAAAACGGCUCCUCUUUAGAUAGGGAUUCUAGGUUUUGUUUGUUGUCAAAAUAUCGAUGGAAACGGCUCUUGGAGAAGAAGGAACUUAGCUUCCAAAAUAAUCGAAAAAAAACUGAUGAGGAAUUCUUCUGUCUUAAGUCUUCAUGAAGAAGAUGUUCGCUCUAGGUUACGGGGAGGGGGGGAGGGUUCGUGUGUAUUGCGGCAGGGGGUCUUAGGGGUCUCUAGGUCUGUUUUCUGUAUUUU